ACGCGCGUCAAGACUAAUACUAAAUUCCCUGAUUGGCCCAACGCUAUUACCAACAAAAAAAAAAAAAAAAAAAAAAAANUCGAAGAGACGAAGAUGAAUAAGUUUGGUGGGAAGAAGCCGACGGGAACACCGUCGUUAGCGAUGUCAACCGUCGUCGUUGUAGCCUCUCUGCUCGCUGGAGCCUCAGUCGUUCACAAUAUAUACAAACCUGAUCUUAGUUUACCUCAGAUCGAAAGCGAUGAAGGAGAUAAGAAGGAGGAGUCUGGAAACAAAGCUUAAUUCUCUUGGUGAGUUUAAGUUCUGGCAUUGCUUUUUUUGUCUUUUUCAGACUCCUCUGAGUUUGAGUUAUGUUUUUAGACCUCUGUUGUUAUGUAUGAAUAAGUUCAUUCACUGGAUCAGUACAUUUUGAUCCAUCCAAGAGUACUCUUACGCGAUUGGUGUUGCAAUAGAUUGCUAAUUGUCGAUUUCCCCCACACUGUUGUCUAAUUGUUGCAUCAUGAUAGUGAAUUAUAUGUACUGAAUAACUAUGAACUUA